GACGAACGCUGGCGGCGUGCUUAACACAUGCAAGUCGAACGGUGAAGGGACCGGUUUUUGCUGGUUCUGGAUGAGUGGCGCACGGGUGAGUAACACGUGAGUAACCUGCCCCCUUCUUCUGGAUAACCGCAUGAAAGUGUGGCUAAUACGGGAUAUUCUGCGCCUGCUGCAUGGUGGGUGUGGGAAAGAUAUUGUUUCGGUGGGGGAUGGGCUCGCGGCCUAUCAGCUUGUUGGUGGGGUGAUGGCCUACCAAGGCGGUGACGGGUAGCCGGCCUGAGAGGGUGGACGGUCACACUGGGACUGAGACACGGCCCAGACUCCUACGGGAGGCAGCAGUGGGGAAUAGUGCACAAUGGGCGCAAGCCUGAUGCAGCGACGCCGCGUGAGGGAUGGAGGCCUUCGGGUUGUAAACCUCUUUCGCCAGUGAAGCAGGCCUGUCCCUUUUGUGGGUGGGUUGACGGUAGCUGGAUAAGAAGCGCCGGCUAACUACGUG
rnacentral:rRNA from 1 species